rnacentral:rRNA from 1 species
UACGGAGGGUGCGAGCGUUAAUCGGAAUUACUGGGCGUAAAGCGUGCGCAGGCGGUUUUGUAAGCCAGAUGUGAAAUCCCCGGGCUUAACCUGGGAAUGGCAUUUGGGACUGCAAGGCUGGAGUGUGGCAGAGGAGACUGGAAUUCCUGGUGUAGCAGUGAAAUGCGUAGAUAUCAGGAGGAAUACCGAUGGCGAAGGCAGCCCCCUGGGAUAACACUGACGCUCAUGCACGAAAGCGUGGGGAGCAAACAGG